GAUGAACGCUGGCGGCGUGCUUAACACAUGCAAGUCGAACGGAAAGGCCCAAGCUUGCUUGGGUACUCGAGUGGCGAACGGGUGAGUAACACGUGGGUGAUCUGCCCUGCACUUCGGGAUAAGCCUGGGAAACUGGGUCUAAUACCGGAUAGGACGAUGGUUUGGAUGCCAUUGUGGAAAGUUUUUUCGGUGUGGGAUGAGCUCGCGGCCUAUCAGCUUGUUGGUGGGGUAAUGGCCUACCAAGGCGUCGACGGGUAGCCGGCCUGAGAGGGUGUACGGCCACAUUGGGACUGAGAUACGGCCCAGACUCCUACGGGAGGCAGCAGUGGGGAAUAUUGCACAAUGGGCGCAAGCCUGAUGCAGCGACGCCGCGUGGGGGAUGACGGCCUUCGGGUUGGAAACUCACUUCGCUAGGGACGAAGCGUUUUUGUGACGGUACCUGGAGAAGAAGCACCGGCUAACUACGU
rnacentral:rRNA from 1 species